UCAAUGUCGAAGAGCUGCUUGCAAGGUACCUAAUUGUUUGACUCUAUUCUCAAUUGGUCCCCUCCAAGUAGCUCUAUUGCAUUGU
rfam:Caenorhabditis briggsae complete genome, chrI